UGCAAAAUUGAAAUUUUUUCUGGUUAUACUCUUGUCUCUCUUUUAAGUUUUAGAAGAUAAAUGUUGUCUAGUUUUCUCUUACAUGAGUGAAAAUGUAUCGAGCUAGCACAUUUAUCACGUAGAAUUUUGAGCCCUCUCUCGUAUCAUUUGCUACAAUGGCAGCUUCCCAUAUAGCAAAAGAUACGAGGAAGGUAGGCUGGUUCAAUCCACUGAAGCAGCCGCCGAAGAAAAGCUGGAUAUGGGUCCCUUAAAUGGUUGUACCAACGGCAACAAGACAUUUUAAUCGAAUGUCGAGAUCCAACAAUCUUUGAGGAAAGAGAUAUUGACGCUCAAAAAGAGAUUACAAGACCAAGUUUCUGUUCGCGGUGCUCUCGAGAGGGCGCUUGGUUAUCAAGCUUCUUCACAUGACAUUACUAGUGAAGCCACAAUUCCAAAGGUUGCUGGCCUCUCUUUUACCAAAUUUUUCUACUCUUUCUAUUCUUUUAUCGAUUGCACUUUGCUCGAUCUCCUGAAAUAUUUUAGGAAACUGAACUUUUCUCGUAGGUCUUCUUACUAAUAAGUUUAUUUGCUUUCCAUCCUGCAACAUAACUCAUUCGAGAAAUUUCAGUUUUGGAGCUAGAAGUAGGGCAUCUCGAACAAUAUCUUCUUUCACUCUACAGGAAAGCAUUUGAUCCACAAGUUUCUACUGUAUCUCCGUUAAAGAAAGAUGAAGGAUUCAAAUCGCCCUUAACAACGCCAAGGAGAAGGCGCUUAGAUUUUUCAACAUCAUAUAUUACACCAGCUAGGGAAUCUACACAAGUUGUUGAAUUAUGUAAUUUUUUUUCUACAAUUUUAGUUUGAGAUUACUACUUAUUUGAUUUUUGGAGAGGGAGUGUGUGGUAUACGAGGAAUUAACUGAGGAAGAUCAUUGCUGUUUGUGUUGUUUCUGGAUUGAUGCUUUGUUAUCUGUACAAUUUUUUAGUUUUGUUUUUUUGUGAAUAAUAAUUUACAUUUGCUUAUGUUUUAAA